rnacentral:rRNA from 1 species
UACAGAGGUCUCAAGCGUUGUUCGGAUUCAUUGGGCGUAAAGGGUGCGUAGGCGGCGCGGUAAGUCGGGUGUGAAAUCUCGGGGCUUAACUCCGAAACUGCAUUCGAUACUACCGUGCUUUGAGGACUGGAGAGGAGACUGGAAUUUACGGUGUAGCAGUGAAAUGCGUAGAGAUCGUAAGGAAGACCAGUGGCGAAGGCGGGUCUCUGGACAGUUCCUGACACUGAGGCACGAAGGCCAGGGGAGCAAACGGG